GACGAACGCUGGCGGCGUGCUUAACACAUGCAAGUCGAACGGAAAGGCCCUGCUUUUGUGGGGUGCUCGAGUGGCUAACGGGUGAGUAACACGUGAGUAACCUGCCCUUGACUUUGGGAUAACUUCAGGAAACUGGGGCUAAUACCGGAUAGGAGCUCCUGCUGCAUGGUGGGGGUUGGAAAGUUUCGGCGGUUGGGGAUGGACUCGCGGCUUAUCAGCUUGUUGGUGGGGUAGUGGCUUACCAAGGCUUUGACGGGUAGCCGGCCUGAGAGGGUGACCGGCCACAUGGGGACUGAGGUACGGCCCAGACUCGUACGGGAGGCAGCAGUGGGGAAUAUUGCACAAUGGGCGGAAGCCUGAUGCAGCAACGCCGCGUGCGGGAUGACGGCCUUCGGGUUGUAAACCGCUUUCGCCUGUGACGAAGCGUGAGUGACGGUAAUGGGUAAAGAAGCACCGGCUAACUACGUG
rnacentral:rRNA from 1 species